rnacentral:rRNA from 1 species
UACGGGGGGGCAAGCGUUGUUCGGAAUUACUGGGCGUAAAGGGCUCGUAGGCGGCCAACUAAGUCAGACGUGAAAUCCCUCGGCUUAACCGGGGAACUGCGUCUGAUACUGGAUGGCUUGAGGUUGGGAGAGGGAUGCGGAAUUCCAGGUGUAGCGGUGAAAUGCGUAGAUAUCUGGAGGAACACCGGUGGCGAAGGCGGCAUCCUGGACCAAUUCUGACGCUGAAGCACGAAGGCCAGGGGAGCAAACGGG